rnacentral:rRNA from 1 species
GACGAGGGGUCCUAGCGUUGUUCGGAAUUAUUGGGCGUAAAGAGCUCGUAGGCGGUCUGUCGCGUCUGCUGUGAAAAUCCAGGGCUCAACCCUGGACCUGCAGUGGGUACGGGCGGACUAGAGUGCGGUAGGGGAGAUCGGAAUUCCUGGUGUAGCGGUGAAAUGCGCAGAUAUCAGGAGGAAUACCGAUGGCGAAGGCAGGUCUCUGGGCUGACACUGACGCUCAUGCACGAAAGCGUGGGGAGCAAACAGG